AGUUUGAUCCUGGCUCAGAUUGAACGCUGGCGGCAGGCCUAACACAUGCAAGUCGAACGGUAACAGGAAGCAGCUUGCUGUUUCGCUGACGAGUGGCGGACGGGUGAGUAAUGUCUGGGAAACUGCCUGAUGGAGGGGGAUAACUACUGGAAACGGUAGCUAAUACCGCAUAACGUCGCAAGACCAAAGAGGGGGACCUUCGGGCCUCUUGCCAUCGGAUGUGCCCAGAUGGGAUUAGCUAGUAGGUGGGGUAACGGCUCACCUAGGCGACGAUCCCUAGCUGGUCUGAGAGGAUGACCAGCCACACUGGAACUGAGACACGGUCCAGACUCCUACGGGAGGCAGCAGUGGGGAAUAUUGCACAAUGGGCGCAAGCCUGAUGCAGCCAUGCCGCGUGUAUGAAGAAGGCCUUCGGGUUGUAAAGUACUUUCAGCGGGGAGGAAGGGAGUAAAGUUAAUACCUUUGCUCAUUGACGUUACCCGCAGAAGAAGCACCGGCUAA
rnacentral:rRNA from 1 species